CGCGGGCCGAGUAGAGAGGGCGGGGCGCACACGUCCCCUGCCCUGGCGGGAAACGCCCAUCCAGCUGUGGUGAACCCCACAGGGAGGCGCAGGACAAGCGCUUUCCGGAAAGGUAUCAACAUAGUCUGCUUCUAUCACUAUGGUUCUGCCAGUUCAACGCCAACAGAACCCAAUUUGGAGUGCAGUGAAGAAGGAAACUGUUCAGUGCAACAACUCAGUUGUGAUACAUCAGCGCUGUGGAACAACAGCUCAAUGGCGUUACAGCUCAAUCCUGAAGCAGCAAGACUGUGAACAACAUAGCUGUUAGGGUGCUCUAGGCAAGACCGCUCCAAGCUCUCUGCUCUGCUCCAUGCCUGUCUCCUCAGGGGUGCUCUGUUCUCCUCUGCGCCGCCUUCUCCUGCCUGCUUUUCUCCACUCUGGCUCUGCCAGGUGUCGUUAGUGUUUCAACUUUGUUUCAGUUCCAGCCAGGGAACCCCAGUCUUCAGUAGAAAGGGAGAGUAUACUCUCAGAGGCAGAGUGGGGCUGACUUACAGAGACAGGAGUUCCUGACCCUGGUCCUUGAUUGGUCCAUCCUCAUGCAAAUAAGGACUUUAAAUCCUGAGUUUGGUCCAAAAGAAACUAUCCUGAUUGAUCAGAAUAGAGCCACUCUGAUUGGUUGGUGAAGAUGGUGAUUGGGGAAAGCCUCACUCCUAUUAGUUGAAAUACAGUUCCAGGAACUCCUUUGUAAGGGCUGGCUCAAAUGGCAGGAAUUCAAUGCAGAAGGCAGGCAGCUGAGUGCAGGCUUCUUGAAAUAGUGUGUGUGAUAGGCCCCUGUGUAGAAAAGAUUGGUAAGCUCUGGGGUUUUUGGUUUUUGUCCUUGUGUUUUUCUUUUUAAAAAAAUUUGAGUCCAGUUAGUCCCCAGGGGCCCUUUCUCAGGGUCCACAAUAUACCUGAAAUAAUACACAGUAAUCUUAUUUAUAUCUGACUUUUUUUACUCAACACAGUGCAUUUGAGAUUCAUCUUGUUGCACCCAAUAAAGCUGUGAUGAACAUUCUGAAGUUCCCACCCUAGAACACAGGAGCUGAGAUACCAUCUCCAUCAGCUACUUGCAGACACCCUCAGGCACAAAGAAAGACAGCACUCAGACCACCGAUCUUCCAUUUAAUCACCAUUCUUGCAACUGUGGUUCGGCACAGCUUGAGAAGUGUGUUCAGAAGAGACAGACUGAUGCUUUCCAUCAGCCCGGCAGAGGAGCUGGGCCCAGGAGUGAGAAGACCUCCGCGUCAGCCCAAGCUGUUCUCAUCACUCGCUGUGCGACCUUGGGCAAGUCACUGGCCACUUAGUGGAGACUCAGUGGUCCU